rnacentral:lncRNA from 12 species
UGCUCCUCAAAGCCCCUACUGGGAACCGUCACACAGUCCUCGCUUGUAGUUAUAGUCAGUCACGUGGUCAGGCCGACAGCCAGUGGAGUGGGAAGUUGGCUCCACUCACAGGAAGCCAUGGCAAAGGAGAACGAGAAGGAAGGUCUGCAAGCAAAUGACAUGUUGCUCCAAGGCACCAAUGGAAAGGGCUUGAACGCAGAAGACGUGGGGAGAAUAAGCUCAAGCAGGAGUCUUCCCUGUGGACUCCUGUUGGAGAAAAAGAGGUGACAAGCGAACCUUUGGCUCUGCUGCUUCUCUUGCCUAUGAAAGCGUUUCUGCUAAAGCGCUGCUUCAGGAGUGGGGUGCUCCGCUGGUGUCUAUGGGAUGUGGACGUUCGGAGCGAGACUUGUAGAUGGAGGAGGUGAGGUACAGCUUGCUGGUGGGUGGGGGAGGCAUGCUACAAUCCUUUUCGGGAGAGUAGGGGUCUA